rnacentral:rRNA from 1 species
AUUGAACGCUGGCGGCAGGCCUAACACAUGCAAGUCGAACGAGUGGCGGACGGGUGAGUAAUGUCUGGGAAACUGCCUGAUGGCGGGGGAUAACUACUGGAAACGGUAGCUAAUACCGCAUACCAUCGGAUGUGCCCAGGUGGGAUUAGCUAGUAGGUGGGGUAAAGGCUCACCUAGGCGACGAUCCCUAGCUGGUCUGAGAGGAUGACCAGCCACACUGGAACUGAGACACGGUCCAGACUCCUACGUGAGGCAGCAGUGGGGAAUCUUGCGCAAUGGGCGAAAGCCUGAUGCAGCCACGCCGCGUGUAUGAAGAAGGCCUUCGGGUUGUAAAGUACUGUCAGCAGGGAAGCGUUACCCGCAGAAGAAGCACCGGCUAACUCCGUGCCAGCCGCCGCGGUAAUAC